AUCCCAUUUCCCAUCUUUGGUUUUGGUGACC
rnacentral:piRNA from 1 species